rnacentral:rRNA from 1 species
AAAUUGAAGAGUUUGAUCAUGGCUCAGAUUGAACGCUGGCGGCAGGCCUAACACAUGCAAGUCGAGCGGUAGCACAGAGAGCUUGCUCUCGGGUGACGAGCGGCGGACGGGUGAGUAAUGUCUGGGAAACUGCCUGAUGGAGGGGGAUAACUACUGGAAACGGUAGCUAAUACCGCAUAACGUCGCAAGACCAAAGUGGGGGACCUUCGGGCCUCAUGCCAUCAGAUGUGCCCAGAUGGGAUUAGCUAGUAGGUGGGGUAACGGCUCACCUAGGCGACGAUCCCUAGCUGGUCUGAGAGGAUGACCAGCCACACUGGAACUGAGACACGGUCCAGACUCCUACGGGAGGCAGCAGUGGGGAAUAUUGCACAAUGGGCGCAAGCCUGAUGCAGCCAUGCCGCGUGUNUGAAGAAGGCCUUNGGGUUGUAAAGNACUUUCAGCGGGGAGGAAGGNGUAAGGUUAAUNNNNNNNNNAUUGACGUUACCCGCAGAAGAAGCACCGGCUAACUCCGUGCCAGCAGCCGCGGUAAUACGGAGGGUGCAAGCGUUAAUCGGAAUUACUGGGCGUAAAGCGCACGCAGGCGGUCNNUNAAGUCNGAUGUGAAANCCCCGNGCUNAACNUGGGAANUGCAUNNGAAACUGGCAGGCUAGAGUCUUGUAGAGGGGGGUAGAAUUCCANGUGUAGCGGUGAAAUGCGUAGAGAUCUGGAGGAAUACCGGUGGCGAAGGCGGCCCCCUGGACAAAGACUGACGCUCAGGUGCGAAAGCGUGGGGAGCAAACAGGAUUAGAUACCCUGGUAGUCCACGCCGUAAACGAUGUCGAUUUGGAGGUUGUGCCCUUGAGGCGUGGCUUCCGGAGCUAACGCGUUAAAUCGACCGCCUGGGGAGUACGGCCGCAAGGUUAAAACUCAAAUGAAUUGACGGGGGCCCGCACAAGCGGUGGAGCAUGUGGUUUAAUUCGAUGCAACGCGAAGAACCUUACCUNGUCUUGACAUCCACAGAACUUUCCAGAGAUGGAUUGGUGCCUUCGGGAACUGUGAGACAGGUGCUGCAUGGCUGUCGUCAGCUCGUGUUGUGAAAUGUUGGGUUAAGUCCCGCAACGAGCGCAACCCUUAUCCUUUGUUGCCAGCGGUCCGGCCGGGAACUCAAAGGAGACUGCCAGUGAUAAACUGGAGGAAGGUGGGGAUGACGUCAAGUCAUCAUGGCCCUUACGACCAGGGCUACACACGUGCUACAAUGGCAUAUACAAAGAGAAGCGACCUCGCGAGAGCAAGCGGACCUCAUAAAGUAUGUCGUAGUCCGGAUUGGAGUCUGCAACUCGACUCCAUGAAGUCGGAAUCGCUAGUAAUCGUAGAUCAGAAUGCUACGGUGAAUACGUUCCCGGGCCUUGUACACACCGCCCGUCACACCAUGGGAGUGGGUUGCAAAAGAAGUAGGUAGCUUAACCUUCGGGAGGGCGCUUACCACUUUGUGAUUCAUGACUGGGGUGAAGUCGUAACAAGGUAACCGUAGGGGAACCUGCGGUUGGAUCACCUCCUUA